rnacentral:rRNA from 1 species
AACGAACGCUGGCGGCAGGCUUAACACAUGCAAGUCGAGCGCCCCGCAAGGGGAGCGGCAGACGGGUGAGUAACGCGUGGGAACGUACCCUUUGCUACGGGAUAGCUCCGGGAAACUGGAAUUAAUACCGUAUGUGCCCUACGGGGGAAAGAUUUAUCGGCAAAGGAUCGGCCCGCGUUGGAUUAGCUAGUUGGUGGGGUAAUGGCCUACCAAGGCGACGAUCCGUAGCUGGUCUGAGAGGAUGAUCAGCCACAUUGGGACUGAGACACGGCCCAAACUCCUACGGGAGGCAGCAGUGGGGAAUAUUGGACAAUGGGCGCAAGCCUGAUCCAGCCAUGCCGCGUGAGUGAUGAAGGCCUUAGGGUUGUAAAGCUCUUUCACCGGAGAAGAUAAUGACGGUAUCCGGAGAAGUAGCCCCGGCUAACUUCGUGCCAGCCGCCGCGGUAAAAC